CCUACUGGUGGCAGCAGUGAGGAAUAUUGGUCAAUGGACGAGAGUCUGAACCAGCCAAGUAGCGUGAAGGAUGACUGCCCUAUGGGUUGUAAACUUCUUUUAUAUGGGAAUAAAACAGGGUAUGCAUACCCUCUUGUAUGUACCAUAUGAAUAAGGAUCGGCUAACUCCGUGCCAGCAGCAGCGGUAAUACUGAGGAUCCGAGCGUUAUCCGGAUUUAUUGGGUUUAAGGGGACAGUAGGUGGAUGGUUAAGUCAGUUGUGAAAGUUUGCGGCUCAACCUUAAAAUUGCAGGUGAUACUGUCAGUCUUGAGUACAGGAGAGGUGGGCGGAAUUCGUGGUGUAGCGGUGAAAUGCUUAGAUAUCAUGAAGAACUCCGAUUGCGAAGGCAGCUAACUGGACUGCAACUGACACUGAUGCUCGAAAGUGUGGGUAGCAAACAGGAUUAGAUACCCUAGUAGUC
rnacentral:rRNA from 1 species